rfam:Coprothermobacter proteolyticus DSM 5265, complete genome.
AUCACGGAGGGUUUGAUCCCGGCUCAGGACGAACGCUGGCGGCGUGCCUAAUGCAUGCAAGUCGAGCGGGCUACGAUCUUCGGAUUGUAGCUUAGCGGCGAACGGGUGAGUAACACGUAGGUAAUCUACCCUUCAGAGGAGGACAACCUCAGGAAACUGAGGCUAAACCUUCAUACGUUCACUGGUAGGGAUACUGGUGAAGAAAGAGUUACCUUAAAGGUAGCUGCUGAAGGAUGAGCCUGCGGCCCAUCAGGUAGUUGGUGAGGUAACGGCUCACCAAGCCGAAGACGGGUAACCGGUCUGAGAGGAUGUCCGGUCACACUGGGACUGAGACACGGCCCAGACUCCUACGGGAGGCAGCAGCAGGGAAUCUUGGGCAAUGGGCGAAAGCCUGACCCAGCGACGCCGCGUGGAGGAAGAAGUCCUUCGGGGCGUAAACUCCUGGACUGGGGGACGAGGAAGGACGGUACCCCAGUAGAAAGGGACGGCUAACUACGUGCCAGCAGCCGCGGUAAAACGUAGGUCCCGAGCGUUGUUCGGAUUCACUGGGUGUAAAGGGCGCGUAGGUGGUUGUCUGUGUCUCAUGUGAAAACUCAGGGCUCAACUCUGAGAUUGCGUGGGAAACUAGGCAGCUAGAGGACGGUAGAGGGGAGUGGAAUUCCCGGUGUAGCGGUAAAAUGCGUAGAUAUCGGGAGGAACACCGGUGGCGAAGGCGGCUCUCUGGGCCGAUCCUGACGCUGAGGCGCGAAAGCUAGGGGAGCGAACCGGAUUAGAUACCCGGGUAGUCCUAGCCGUAAACGAUGGGUGCUAGGUGUUGGGGGGUAAAGACCCUUCAGUGCCGAAGCCAACGCGAUAAGCAUCCCACCUGGGGAGUACGGCCGCAAGGUUGAAACUCAAAGGAAUUGGCGGGGGUCCGCACAAGCGGCGGAGCAUGUGGUUUAAUUCGAUGCUGCCCGAAGAACCUUACCAGGGUUUGACAUGCUGGUGGUAGGAACCUGAAAGGGGGACGACCCGACCGUAAGGGAGGGAGCCAGCACAGGUGUUGCAUGGCUGUCGUCAGCUCGUGCCGUGAGGUGUCGGCUUAAGUGCCGUAACGAGCGCAACCCUCAUCCCUAAUUGCUCCUGGCAGGUAAAAGGGUCAGAGCACAAUAGGGAGACCGCUGGCGAAGAGCCAGAGGAAGGGGAGGAUGACGUCAAGUCAGCAUGGCCUUUAUGCCCUGGGCUACACACAUGCUACAAUGCAGGGUACAACGGGAAGCGAAGCCGCGAGGUGGAGCAAAUCCCCAAAAGCCCUGCUCAGUUCGGAUCGCACGCUGCAAUUCGCGUGCGUGAAGUCGGAGUCGCUAGUAACCGUGGAUCAGCAAAGCCGCGGUGAAUACGUUCUCGGGCCUUGCACACACCGCCCGUCAAGCCACCCGAGUCGGGUUCACCAGAAGGCCGGUAACCGAAGAGGGCCGGACGACGGUGUGCCUGGUAAGGAGGGCUAAGUCGUAACAAGGUAGCUGUACCGGAAGGUGCGGCUGGAUCACCUCCUUU